AACACAAAUGGUAAACAGCGUCAUGGGGUUCCUUUCUAGAGAAAGCUGGAUCUCUGGAAUUGGGACUACCACCAGUUCCCAGAGGAGUGCAGCCACUGAUGAACGUGAUGAUCACAUACCCCUUGAAGGGGCUGAAGAAGGACAUCACCUCUGAGACACCUGAACAGCUUCAGCUCUCUAUGAAAUACGUGGUUGUCUUCACUUCAUCCAUCUCCCCGACUUCCUGGCAACCCACUGACUAUGCUCAGAGCAACCGGAAGAAAUGCAUCAUUUCACACAAACACCAUAUGGCAGGAAGCAGCCAGAGAUCACGGUGAUAAGUUCAAAUGGCAAUUGAUCAGUCUUCCUCCAUGAUGUGCUGCCUCAUCACAGGCCCCAAAGCAACAGGACUAACUGGUCAUGGACUGAAAUCUCCAAACCUGCGAGCCAAGCUAAACCUUUUUUGCUCUACAAGUCAAAUUAUCUCAUGUAUUUGUUACAGUAACAGAAAGCUGGCUAACCUAAUAGCAGGGAUUGCUUUGUGGUUUUAUUUUAUAUUUCUCUAAUGGUUAAUGAUGUCAAACAACUUUUCAUGUGUUUAUUUGCCAUUUCUCUAUCUUCUUUGGGUGAAAUGGAAAUGUCUAUGCCCAUGUUCUAAUUAGAUUGUUUGCUGAGUUUUGAGAGUUCUUUAUGCUACAUAUUAACCCUUUAUCAAACAUGUGGUUUGCAAAUAUUUGUUACCCAUCUGUAGUUUAUGUUUUCAUCUUCUUAGUAGGGUCUUCUGCAGAUCCAAAGUUUCUAAUUUUUAUUGAGGUCCAAUUUAUCAACCUUUACAUUAUGGAUGAUGUUUUAGAUGUUAAAUUUAAAAAUUA